UAUGAAGAACGUAGCGAAAUGCGAUACUUGGUGUGAAUUGCAGAAUCCCGUGAACCAUCGAGUCUUUGAACGCAAGUUGCGCCCGAAGCCAUUAGGCCGAGGGCACGCCUGCCUGGGCGUCACACGUCGUUGCCCCCCCAUCUACUCCUUCGGGAUUGCGGGGGGCGGAUGAUGGCCUCCCGUGCGCCUCGCCGCGCGGUUGGCAUAAAUGCCAAGUCCUCGGCGACGCACGCCACGACAAUCGGUGGUUGCGAAACCUCGGUUGCCCGUCGUGUGCGGUCGUCGCGCAUCGAGGGCUCGAAAAAAUUGCCGGGUUCCGGCUCGGCUUUCAACGCGACCCCAGGUCAGGCGGGGUUACCCGCUGAAUUUAAGCAUAUCAAUAAGCGGAGGA
rnacentral:misc_RNA from 1 species